UAUAGGACUAGUUCCAGGACCAGGUCCUGUAUUUAGAGUGACUAUAGGACUAGUUUCAGGACCAGGUCCUGUAUUCAG